rnacentral:rRNA from 1 species
CAGUCGAACGAAGAGCGAUGGAAGCUUGCUUCUAUCAAUCUUACUGUGCGAACGGGUGAGUAACGCGUAAUCAACCUGCCCUUCAGAGGGGGACAACAGUUGGAAACGACUGCUAAUACCGCAUACGAUCUAAUCUCGGCAUCGAGGAUAGAUGAAAGGUGGCCUCUACAUGUAAGCUAUCACUGAAGGAGGGGAUUGCGUCUGAUUAGCUAGUUGGAGGGGUAACGGCCCACCUAGGCGACGAUCCCUAGCUGGUCUGAGAGGAUGACCAGCCACACUGGAACUGAGACACGGUCCAGACUCCUACGGGAGGCAGCAGUGGGGAAUAUUGCACAAUGGGCGCAAGCCUGAUGCAGCCAUGCCGCGUGUAUGAAGAAGGCCUUCGGGUUGUAAAGUACUUUCAGCGAGGAGGAAGGCGUUGUGGUUAAUAACCGCAACGAUUGACGUUACUCGCAGAAGAAGCACCGGCUAACUCCGUGCCAGCAGCCGCGGUAAUACGUAGGUGGCAAGCGUUGUCCGGAAUUAUUGGGCGUAAAGCGCGCGCAGGCGGAUAGGUCAGUCUGUCUUAAAAGUUCGGGGCUUAACCCCGUGAUGGGAUGGAAACUGCCAAUCUAGAGUAUCGGAGAGGAAAGUGGAAUUCCUAGUGUAGCGGUGAAAUGCGUAGAUAUUAGGAAGAACACCAGUGGCGAAGGCGACUUUC